rnacentral:rRNA from 1 species
GUGAGGAAUAUUGGUCAAUGGGCGGGAGCCUGAACCAGCCAAGUCGCGUGAAGGAAGAAGGAUCUAUGGUUCGUAAACUUCUUUUGCAGGGGAAUAAAGUGCAGGACGUGUCCUGUUUUGUAUGUACCCUGAGAAUAAGGAUCGGCUAACUCCGUGCCAGCAGCCGCGGUAAUACGGAGGAUCCGAGCGUUAUCCGGAUUUAUUGGGUUUAAAGGGUGCGUAGGUGGUUUGAUAAGUCAGCGGUGAAAGUUUGCAGCUUAACUGUAAAAAUGCCGUUGAAACUGUCGGACUUGAGUGUAAAUGAGGUAGGCGGAAUGCGUGGUGUAGCGGUGAAAUGCAUAGAUAUCACGCAGAACUCCGAUUGCGAAGGCAGCUUACUAAGCUACAACUGACACUGAAGCACGAAAGCGUGGGGAUCAAACAGGAUUAGAAACCCUAGUAUCC